rnacentral:sRNA from 1 species
AUUUUGUUAAAAAUUUUUUGUUGGUGUCACAUUGUAUUAAUAACAACAUGGCCUAGCCAAGUAAAUUCAUUGCUUAAGGUCUUCAAUUGGAUUUGGAAAGGACAACAAAAUUUAUCCAAUUGAUAAUUUAACAAACUUUCCACCAUGUUAUUGUUUCCCAUGUUAUCGUUUUUGUUGAUUUUAAGGUAACUUUGUAACAACAUUUCCCUUGACAUUUUGUUUGUUUUUUUUUUUUUUGUUCUUCCACUAGAAUUUGCUAUUGGCAUUUCAUUUGAAGAAUUCAAAUUGGGAAAGUUUGAAUUUAUCGAAACAAAUGAAUGUUUAUUCGUUCUGGGAAUAAAAGUUGUCUGGAGUACCAACAAAAAAAUGUGUUGUUAAAAGGUUACAAUUAUGGUAUUCCCUGAAGCACUUAGAGCUGAAUGUGUUCCACUACAAUCAUGCUUUCUCUAUUGCUUAGGUUGUGCCGAAAAAAUGAGUUUACAAAAGAACGAUAGUUAAAAAGACAAAACAAAACAAAAAAAUUUCAGUGGCAUCGGAUUAGAAAUGCGCCUUUUAUGGGGCCAAG